rnacentral:misc_RNA from 1 species
AACGCACGAGACCUGCGGACCUGCGGAGGGAUCAUUACCGAGUUCAUGCCCUCACGGGUAGAUCUCCCACCCUUGUGUAUCCUAUGUUUGUGUUGCUUUGGCAGGCCGUGGGCCUCGCCCACCACCGGCUCUCGGGCUGGUGUGCGCCUGCCAGAGGACUCUUUAAACUCUGUUUGUUAGUGUCGUCUGAGUAUGAUAACAAUCGUUAAAACUUUUAACAACGGAUCUCUAGAUCGGAAG